CCACAAGAGGCGCUAGAAAAGCGUUGCUUAUAUGGCAACGUUGGAACUAUUGCAAACCCAGCUCACCAGGGGGCUGGAGUAGCGUUAGAUGAUGCGCAUUCUUAAGCGUGUGGGUGAUUACUAGACCUGCAUCGUGCGUUUCAUACCGCGUGUUUGCAGUUGGAUCUCCUUGAAUCUUUUACAUCCAUAAUUCUGAUCAAUGCGUUUUUAAGGUGACACAGGCUCCUGAAUUUUCACUUCUCAAUGGCUGACAAGAGAUUGUAUUGAUAAGUAUCUAUCCUGUUCAGGUUACAUUUACCUUUUUUUUAUUAAGGUAUCUGCAUUCAUCGUUCAAAAAAUUUUUAUGGGGAAACUUUAGGUAAAAUAAUUUAGAAUGUGAAUCUCAAAUGAAGUAAUGUGAAUCCAGCCAUAGAACUACAUCACUGUUAGGUGUAACAAAGUUAGUGAGGUUUUAAUGUUGGCACUGCAGUUUAACUUCUGGAAGUAGAUGAGUGGCUUAUACCUGGUUUGUCCAAUUGGUGUGGCCUUUUGCAUCGGAAAACUCAUCAUGCCAAGAGAUGUAAAAUGUAUGAAAACCUGCUAUCAAGGAGCAUCUGGAAUGAAUAAAUGUAAAAAGCUGCUGUAUCACUUCAUUAUGUUUCCUUAUAUGUUAGGGUGUUGCUGUUGGAACAACCAUGAUCAAAUUGGAUUAUCAAACACUGCUUGAAUGUAUCAGGGAUCCAAGAAGAGGUAAAUGUUUUAAGUUGAAUAUUUUGAUAAAGAUAGGUACUCGACCGUUUUGUGUAAGCGGUCGAUUGGCGCAUGACAAGCACCUAUCCUAAUCGUCCUUGGCGCGUAUCGGUAUUCCUCUUUGUCGUGCAGGUAAAAUACAUAAUUAGAACAGAACAUUUAAUUUAUUUGUCCGUUGGUUCACAUAGGGCUACCUUAGAAAUCCGAGGACUACUGGAGUUGGAAACACGCAAUGUUCAUUCAUCCAUACAUAGAAAAGCGGAUUCAUCGUGGACUGCCGAGAGGAAAAGAAAAUCUUGCGUUACUUAUUGACCAUCUUCGUGUAAAAUGUUCAGUCCCCAAACUCCCCGUUGAGCGGGCGAUUAUGGUAACAAAUACGACAGGUGUUCGGAAGGAGAGUAUAGAUUGUGGUGCUUUAUGGAAGUUUAAAAUGUACGAUGCUGGUUUUUUCGGAAGAUCAACAGUAGUUUUCAAGGUUAGUUUAUGCUGAUGGACUUUCCGUAAACAAGAAAAUAUGGCCGGCAUCCAACGAAUUUACCGUGGAUAAUAAUGAAGCUUCUAUAAAAUAAUGCACCAGCAGCAAGCUAAUAGGGAGUGUGAUUGUUGAGAACUGCUUUGCCAAAGCAUUAGGUUCCAAAGAUUUAAGUUAAUGGGUGCACUAAAACUAUGCAAAACCAUCCGUUUGGUGGGCUCCAUGUGGUGUGUGUGAAAGGUCUGCGAAUGCAUUUCGGAUCACCGUAGCAAGUAAUGUUCUUCACUAGUCGCCAUUGAAUCGAGUAGUCUACAUCAUCGUUGGUUUUUUCCCCAAUGUUUCUUUUGACUGUUCAUUUCUUUCGCCGUUUUUUUUACCUUUGUUUCCCAUCGUUCGAUUGUCGCCCACAACAAUUUUGUCAUUCAUUUUUAAAAACUUUUUCGCGAUAUUGACAUUUUCACAAACAUCGCUCAGGCAUCACUAUUCCGAACCUUUUGUUACAUAUACCAGUAAUCAUGCUUAUGUAACAUUAUACGGCCGUCAAUUUA